rnacentral:misc_RNA from 1 species
UUUCCUACUGAUCGAGGUCACAUUCAGAAGUUGGGGUUUAACGGCGUGGCCGCGACGAUUACCAGUAACGAGGGUUUUACUACUACGCUAUGGAAGCUCGACGUGACCGCCAAUCAAUUUGAGGAACGCGAAUUAACGCGAGUCCCAACACCAAGCUGUGCUUGAGGGUUGAAAUGACGCUCGAACAGGCAUGCCCGCCAGAAUACUGGCGGGCGCAAUGUGCGUUCAAAGAUUCGAUGAUUCACUGAAUUCUGCAAUUCACAUUACUUAUCGCAUUUUGCUGCGUUCUUCAUCGAUGCCAGAACCAAGAGAUCCGUUGUUGAAAGUUUUGAUUUAUUUAUGGUUUUACUCAGAAGUUACAUAUAGAAACAGAGUUUAGGGGUCCUCUGGCGGGCCGUCCCGUUUUACCGGGAGCGGGCUGAUCCGCCGAGGCAACAAGUGGUAUGUUCACAGGGGUUUGGGAGUUGUAAACUCGGUAAUGAUCCCUCCGCUGGUUCACCAACGGAGACCUUGUUACGACUUUUACUUCCUCUAAUUGACCAAGA